GUGAGGAAUAUUGGGCAAUGGAGGCAACUCUGACCCAGCCAUGCCGCGUGAGUGAGAAGGUUUUCGAAUUGUAAAGCUCUUUCAGGUGUGAAGAUGAUGACGGUAACACCAGAAGAAGCCCCGGCAAACUUCGUGCCAGCAGCCGCGGUAAUACGAAGGGGGCGAGCGUUGUUCGGAAUUACUGGGCGUAAAGGGUGUGUAGGCGGUUUAGUAAGAUAGUGGUGAAAUGCCGGAGCUCAACUUCGGAAUUGCCAUUAUGACUAUUAAGCUAGAAUGAUGUAGAGGAUAGCGGAAUACCCAGUGUAGAGGUGAAAUUCGUAGAUAUUGGGUAGAACACCAGAGGCGAAGGCGGCUAUCUGGGCAUUUAUUGACGCUGAGGCACGAAAGCAUGGGGAUCAAACAGGA
rnacentral:rRNA from 1 species